UUGAGGGAGGGGGUGGCUCAGGCAGCGCGGCGGGCAGCUAAAGGGAGGGGGCCUGAGGAGGCGCUGUUGCUAUGGGGAUGGGGAAGGGGCAAGAUGGCGUCCGGGGGGCAGCGCUGCGCUGAGGGGUCGGGGCCUGUUGUCUUGAGACCCCAUGGGGAGGCUCCUUGGGCAGCCUGGGGGCUCGCUGAGGGGUGAGGGGCAGCGUUCCAGUCAGGGGAGGUAGUCCCCGAGUGGUCUCUGUGUGUGGGUAGUGCAGCCUUAGGGGCCCGGCCGCAGGUAGGUGGGGCACGGAGUAGCUCUGAGGGCUGUGCUGAGCCCUAAAGGCUGCCUGUCUAUCUAGGGAGCAUCUGGUGGAAGCCAAGCUGUGAGAAAUGGCCUUGUUUUAAUGCUCUUUUCUCAACAUUCUCGUUCCAGUUUAAAUAUAUGGAGUGGGCACUUGGGUCACCUCAGGACGUUCAGGCAGGUUUUCCUGAUGUAUGUGUGUGUUCCUACAUCUGCCAUGAAACAGAACCCGAUGUUUCCAAGGGUCAUAAAGGGUUCCACGCUGUUAAAGAAAACACCAGCUGCCUAGGAGUGACUGUGGGAUCCGAAGAGUGAAACUCCAGACUGAAAAAGCCCUGAGCAGUGCUGCCUGGUGUCCCAGCUGACCCCGCUCUGAGCACGAGGUCGGACUUUGUGCUCCAACCAGCAUUACCAGUGGUUCACUGCCGGGUCACGUCAGGAUCGCCUCACCUCCACAGCCAGUGCCUUACUGAGGUCUCGGAUACUGGCUGUUGUAUUGCAGAUUGACACCUGUGCACUAAAUCUCCUUCCUUUUGUAGGAAACAGCUUCUCAUGGAAAAUUCCUCUGUGUAUAAUCACAUUGUCUGGCUGCUGACAUUUUGCUUGGACACUCACCUAGAGGUUUGCUGGUUUAUUUAAUGGGUUAAUGACAAAUAAAACUUCAUAUCCUGCACACAAAUGGUUGAGGUGCACCUGUGUUGUUUAAAAUACACAUCCAGAGCCUGUGUGUUGGUGAACUCCUAACAAUUACACGUGCAGAGCAGGCUGACUCGUAGGAAGAGCGGGUUUCUGGCCGUUUAAACGUUAGGCUGCUGAAAUUUAUCUUGGCACGCAGCCCCCCCAGACAAAGGGCACAAUAAUAUUUUAACAGGGGAAGGGAUGGAAGUCAGAUUUUCAAUCUUCAGUUUCACUGACUGCAGAAAUGACAACGCUCAUCUUCCUGUUCCCAACAGGAGGCUGAGUUUAGGAAGCAGAUUGUUGUCUGCGCUCC